rnacentral:rRNA from 1 species
UACGUAGGGUGCAAGCGUUAAUCGGAAUUACUGGGCGUAAAGCGUGCGCAGGCGGUUCGCUAAGACCGAUGUGAAAUCCCCGGGCUUAACCUGGGAACUGCAUUGGUGACUGGCGGGGCUAGAGUAUGGCAGAGGGGGGGGUAGAAUUCCGACGUGUAGCAGUGAAAUUGCGUAGAGAUGUGGAGGAAUACCGAUGGCGAAGGCAGCCCCCUGGGCCAAUAUGACGCUCUGCACGAAAGCUGGGGAGCAACAGGA